GACGAACGCUGGCGGCGUGCUUAACACAUGCAAGUCGAACGGAAAGGCCCUGCUCUUGUGGGGUGCUCGAGUGGCGAACGGGUGAGUAACACGUGAGUAACCUGCCCUUGACUUUGGGAUAACUUCAGGAAACUGGGGCUAAUACCGGAUAGGAGCUCCUGCUGCAUGGUGGGGGUUGGAAAGUUUCGGCGGUUGGGGAUGGACUCGCGGCUUAUCAGCUUGUUGGUGGGGUAGUGGCUUACCAAGGCUUUGACGGGUAGCCGGCCUGAGAGGGUGACCGGCCACAUUGGGACUGAGAUACGGCCCAGACUCCUACGGGAGGCAGCAGUGGGGAAUAUUGCACAAUGGGCGGAAGCCUGAUGCAGCGACGCCGCGUGCGGGAUGACGGCCUUCGGGUUGUAAACCGCUUUCGCCUGUGACGAAGCGUGAGUGACGGUAAUGGGUAAAGAAGCACCGGCUAACUACGUG
rnacentral:rRNA from 1 species